AAGAGUUGCAAAACUCCCUUAAACCAUCGCGAACGUUACCCCACAACCGUUGCUUCGGCGGGCAGGCCAACCCCUCACGGGGCGUCUCCCCGGCCCCCUCGCGGGGCGCUCGCCGGAGCGGCACAACCAAACUCUUAUAAUUAUUGGCCUCUCUGAGUAAGAUUUUUAAAUAAGUCA
rnacentral:misc_RNA from 1 species